UUUUUUUUUUUUUUUUUUGUCUUUAUGCUAUUUCUUUGGGCCGCUCCUGUGGCACAUGGAGGUUCCCAGGCUAGGGGUCGAAUCAGAGCCGUAGCCACAGCCUACGCCAGAGCCACAGCAACGCGGGAUCCGAGCCUCGUCUGGUCUGCAAACUACACCACAGCUCACGGCAACGCCGGAUCGUUAACCCACUGAGCAAGGGCAGGGACCGAACCCGCAACCUCAUGGUUCCUAGUAGGAUUCAUUAACCACUGCGCCACGACGGGAACUCUGGAUCUGCCUAUUUUUGACUGGGUUGUUUUCUUUGUUUUUUAAUACUGAGCUUCAUGAGUUGUUUGUAUAUUUUGGAGAUUAAUCCCUUGUCAGUCACUUCAUUUGCAAAGAUUUUUUCCCAUUCUGUAGGUUGUCUUUUUGUUUUGUUUAUAGUUUCCUUUUCUGUGCAGAAACUUUUUAAGUUUAAUUAUGUUCCAUUUGUUUAUUUUUGUUUUUAUUGUCAUUACUCCAGGAAGUGGAUCUAAGAAGAUGUUGCAGUGGUUUAUGUCAGAGAGUGUAUGUGAGAGAGCAAUGCCAGAUCCUUAACCUACUGAGUGAGGCCAAGGAUGGAACCUGCAUCCUCAUGGAUACUAGUUGGGUUCUUAAUCCACUGAACCACAACAGGAAGUCCUCUGCUCUGAUUUUUUUUUUCCUUCUACUAACUUUAGGUUGUUUUUCUUUCUCUAGUUGCUUUAGGUUUCUUAUUUGAGAUUUUUCUUCUUUGCUGAGGUACGCUUGUAUUGCUGUAAACUUCCCUCUUUAACUUCUAUUGCUGCAUCUCCGAGGUUUUGGAUCAUUGUGUUUUUGUUUUCAUUUGUCCCUAGAUAUUGUUUGAUUUCUACUUCGAUUUCUUCAGUAAUCCAUUGGUGUUUAGCAUCAUAUUGUUUGGUCUCCACAUGUUUGUGUUUUUUGCAGUUUUUUUUUUUUUCCUUUUAGUUAAUUUCUAGUUUUAUCACAUUGUGGUCAGAAUAGAUGCUUGAUAUGAUUUCAAUUUUCUUAAAUUUACUAAGGCUUGACUUGUGGCCCAGAAUGUGAUUUAUCUUUAAGAUUUUCCAUGUGUGCUUAAGAAGAAUGUGCAUUGCUCUGCUUUUGGAUGGAAUAAUCUGUAAAUAUCAGUUAAGUUCAUCUGGUCUAAUGUAUCAUUUAAGUCCUGUAUAUCCCUGUUGGUUUUCUGUCUGGAUGACCUGUCCACCACUAUUAUUGUGUUAUUGUCAAUAUUCCCUUUAUGGCUAUUAGCAGUUGUCUUAUAUAUUGAGGUGCUCCUAUGUUGGGUACAUAUAUAGUUGUAGUUGUUAUAUCUUCUUCUUGGGUUGAUUUUUUUCUUUUUAGGGCCGCACCUGUAGCAUAUGGAAGUUCCCAGGCUAGGGGUCAAAUCAGAGCUGUGGCUGCUGGCCUACACCACAGCCACAGCAAUGCUAUAUCUGAGCAGCAUCUGUGACCUACACCACAGCUCACAGCAAUGCUGGAUCCCCAACCCACUGAGUGAGGCCAGGGAUCAAAACUGCAUCCUCAGAGAUACUAGUUGGAUUCGUUUCUGCUGAGCCAUGACAAGAACUCCCUGAUCCCUUUGAUCAUUAUGUAAUGUCCUUCUUUGUCUCUUAUAACGGUCUUUAAAGUCUAUUUGUCUGAUGUGUGUAUUUCUACUCCAGCUUUCUUUUGAUUCCCAUUUGCAUGGAAUAUCUUUUUCCAUCCUCUCACUUUUAGUCUGUAUGUGUCUCUGUAACUGAAUGGGUCUCUUACAGGUUGCAUCUGUAUUUUUUUUUUUUUUUUUGCAUUCAUCCAGUCUAUGUCUUUUGGUUGGAACAUUUAAUCAACUUACAUUUAAGGUAAUUAUUGAUAUGUAUGUUCUUAUUGCCAUUUUGUUGUUUUAGAUUUGUUUUUGUUGAUCUUUUUUCCUCCCUCCUUUUGUUUUCUUCUCUUGUGGUUUGAUGACUAUCUUUAGUGUUGUGUUUGGAUUGCUUUUGUGUGUGUUAUCUAUUGUAGAUUUUUGGUUUGCAAUUCCAUGAAGUUUUGAUAAAGGAGACUAUACAAGAUUGCUUUAAGUUGCUGAUCUCUUAAUUUUAAAUGUAUUUCCAGUAUCCUGCAUUUGUACUCCCCUCACAAUUACUGGGUUUGAUAUCAUAUUUGUGUGUGGAUGAUUUACUACCUAGUACUACAUGUUUGCCUUUACUGGUGAGCCUUUGCAUUUGUAAUUUUCUUGUUUUUAGUUGUGGCCUUUUCUUUUCUGCCUGGAGAGAUUCCUUUAGUAUUUGUUGUAAAGCUGGUUUGGUGCUGCUAAAUUCUCUUGGUUUUUGCUUGUCUGCAAAGCUUUUGAUUUCUCAGUCAAAUCUGAAUGAGAGCCUUGCUGGGUAGAGUAUUCUUGGUUGUUUUUCCUUUUCAUCACUUUAAGUAUAUUGUGCCACUUCCUUCUGGCCUGCAGAGUUUCUGCUGAAAAACUAGCUGAUAACAUUACUAGGGUUCCCCUGUAUGCUAUUUCUUGCUUUUCCCUAGCUGCUUUCAAUAUUUUCUCUUUUCUUUAAUUUUGGUCAGUUUGAUUAAUAUUUCUCCGGGUGUUCCUCCUUGGAUUUAUUCUGUGUGCUUCCUGGACUUGAGUAAUUCCUUUCUCAUGUUAGGGAAGUUUUUGGCUAUUACCUCUUCAAAUAUUUUCCCAGACACUUUCUCUUUCUUUUCUCCUUCUGGCAUCCCUAUAAUGUGAAUAUUGGUGCAUUUAAUGUUGUCCCAGGGUUCUCUUAGAUUGUCCUCAUUUCUCUUCAUACUUUUUCUUUAUUCUGUUCCACAUCCGUGAUUUGUACCAGUCUGUCUUCCACCUUGCUUAUUCAUUCUUCUGCCUCCUGUAUUCUGCUAUUGUUUCCUUCUAGUGGAUUUUUCAUUUUGGUUAUUGUGUUUUACAUCUGUUUAUUUUUUAAACUUUUUUUUCCUUUAUUAAACAUUCUUAUAAUUUCUUGAUCUUUGCCUACAGCUUUUUUCUGAGAUCUUGGAUCAUCCUUACUAUCAUUACUCUAUAAAUUUUUUCCAUGUAGGUUGUUUAUCUCCUCUUCAUUUAGCUGUUCUUCUGGGGUUUUUGUCUUUUCCUUCAUCUGGCUCAUAUUUCUCUGCCAUUUCAUUUGUCUAGCUUUCUGUGUGGAUUCCUUUCUGCAGGCUACAGGGUUGUAGCCUCUCUUGCUUCUGGUGUUCCACCCUUGUGGGUGAAGUUGAUACUGGGGCUUGUGGCAGGCUUCCUGAUAGGAGGCACUGGUGCCUGCCCACUGGUGGUUGGAGCUGUCUUAUCCCUCUAGUGGGUGGGGCUGUGUCUCUGAGUGGGAUUAUAGACAGCUGUGUUCCUUGGAGGACUUUAGGGAGCCUGUUUGCUGAUGGGUGGGGCUGUGUUCCCACCCUCCUUGCUGUUUGGCCUGGGGCUUCUGAGUCCUCAUGCCUUCAAACAAGGGGCCAGCUUUUUGCAAAAUGGCAGUCUCCAGGGGAGCUCUGCCUCCACAGUGAGCCACAGCUGAUCCCUGCCUUCCCAGGAGAACUUCCAAGACCUGCAGGUAGGUCCGACCAGAUUCUUAUGGAGUCCCUGCUUGUCCCUGGGACCCAGUGUACGUGAAACCCUGUUGUGCCCCCCAAGAGUGGAGUCUCUUGUUUUUCCCAAUCCUGUGGAGCUCCUGCCUUUGAGCCUGCUGGCUUUCAAUGCCAAAUGCUCCAGGGGCCCCUCUUCUGAAUGCCAGACCGUGGGGGGAACCUACAUGGGGUUUGGAACUCUCACACCUGUGGGAGAGCUUCUGUCAUAUAGUUAUAUUCAGUUUAUGGGUUGUCCACACAGCAGGUAUGGGAUUGUUAUAUCGCAAAAGCACCCCUCGUACCACCUCGUUGUGGCUUCUUCUUUGUCUUUAGUUAUAGGAUAUCUUAUAGUAGCUUCCAGCCUACUGAGGAUUGUUCAGCAGUUAGUUGUAAUUUUGGUAUUUUCAUGAGAGGAGGUGAGCUCAAGUCCUACUCUACCAUCUUGUUUGGAAUUCUGGCCUAUUUGUAUGUUAUUAAUACUAGUCCUGCCCACCAUCAAAAUAUCCUGUUAUUUCUAAGGAAGUACUAUGAACUAGGUUUUAGGUGCAAUUUUUAAAAAAAUAUUAUGGCUAUAUUAAAAGCAAAGCCUAUUUAGAAAAAUGUAAAUUUUACAGAUGAAAUAAUGUGAUUUGCUUCAAAACAGUAUCAAGAAGGAGGAUGGGAGUUCCUGUCAUGGCACAACGGAAACAAAUUUGACUAGUAUCCAUGAAGACACAGUUGCCCUGGCCUUGCUCAGUGGGUUAUGGAUCCGGUGUUGCUGUGACCUGUGGUAUAGGUUGCAGAUGCGGCUCAGAUCCCCCGUUUUGCUAUGGCUGUGAUGUAAGCUGGCAGCUACAGCUCUGAUUCAACCCCUAGUCUGGGAACUUCCAUAUGCUGUGGGUGCACC
rnacentral:lncRNA from 1 species